rnacentral:lncRNA from 1 species
AGGUAAUGAGAGAUAAGAAUAGAAUUGGUUUUCAGCACAAAAUUAAUAUGGCAGCAACUGCAAUUGAAAAGAUAGAAAUGGAUGUGCCUAUUAAGGCCACUCCUCAGCAGUUCUAUGAUGUUUUUUGCAACAAGACACACUAUGUUUCCAAUGUUUGCCCUGAUAAAGUAAAGAGUGUCGACCUUCAUGAAGGUAAUUGGGGCAUUGAGGGAUCCAUUAUAUCCUGGAAUUUUGUUUUAGGUAUGUGACCCUCCAACUCAAUUUUUAUUUACAACAUACUUACUUAGCUUCAACUUAAUUAAGUGGUGAAUUUUAUAUGAUAUAAACUUUCAAUCAAAUGGUGAAUUUUAUAAAAUUUAUAUUCGUUAAAAUAUUAUUAAGCGGUGUGUACGCGCGCGAUUGAUUUGCAUAUAGUUUUGUAACAUCACAUAAUAUAAUUUGUGUGGCAGCUCACUUUCUUGUGUAACGAUAUGUUUGUUCAAUUACUUUUUUUGUUUGGGAUUUGAACAAAAAAGGUGGAAAAACUUCAAUUUCUAAGCAAAGGAUUGAAGACAUAGACAAAGAAAACAACAAAAUAACAUACAAAGUGUUGGGUGGAGAGUUGUUGGAAGAUUACAAGAGCAUCAAAUUCAUAAUGCAAAUUGUUCCACAAAGAGAAGGAAGUGCUGUGCGUUGGAUUGUUGAAUAUGAGAAGCUCAAUAACAAUGGCCCUAAUCCUCACCCCUUGUUCCAUUUUUGUGUUGAGGUUAUCAAAUAUGUUGAUGCUCAUCUUGCACCUGAGGACAAGAAGUAAACAAAUUAUUAAUGUGAACAAAAAAAGCUCAUGUACAAGUGACAAAUAAAUUAUUAAUGUGUCUCUAUGUCAUAUGUUAGUUUGAUUUAUAUAUCUAUGUGUGACAAAUAAAUUAUUAAUGUGUCAUAUGUGAUGUAUUUUCAAUUAUGCAUAUGGUUUGUUUGUCAAACAAAAUAAGAGUUGAGUGUAUUAGGUGUGAGCUGGGGUUUUCUUGUCCACCUUCAUUGGGUUGUAAAGCAUAUAAAUUAGUUGGCAUUGAUAUAUUGUGGAUAACUUAUCCAAUAUGAUUUGACACCAAUAAAAAUUAUCUACAUAUAAUUUACUAUCUAUGUGAAACAUUAAUAUUAAAUGUGAGUACUUUUUUUACUUGAAGUUGAACUUUGAUUUGUCAUGUUAUGGAAGUUUAGUAUCAUCUCUUACCAUUAACCCUCUCUCAAUUUACACAAAUAGAAAAGAUUGAGUUAUUUUUCGUUUUUUUUCCCAUGUGGUAAAUUUUUUUUUUUCGUUAACUUAUAUUUAGUGGCUAGAAUAUAGCCCCUUAAAGUGAACAAGUGAUCUCGAGUUCAAAUUUUCCUGCAUAUUACAAUGUUUCUAUCAAUUGAGUUAUGCUAGAAAUGACAAAUUCAAAUACAGAUUAAAAAAUAGAACAAGACCUGAAAUUUCCUGUAAACCUCGGUAAUAGAACAAGACAUGAAUUUUACUAUAAAACCUCAAUUCAAGUUCUAGAGCUCAAACAAAUAAAAAUUCAAUUUGGAUUGUAGAACUCGAAUCAGUAAAAAUUCAAUUCAGAUUUUAGAACUGGAACAAUGUCAUAUCUCAGUUCAAAUUCUAUAACUCGAACAAAGGGGAAUGGAAAUAUUUUUAAUAUGUGGUCUAAAACAGAUUGAUUGUUUGUGUUUAUUAACGUACCGUUAAUUUGUGUGGACUACAAUGCACAAAUACUAAAUAUUCUAAACAAAGAUAUAAAACAUAAAUCCUAAUAAUAUCAUUUAUUUCAGACAUAAAUCUAAAAUAUAUUUAAAUCUAAAACUUCAAAAAGAUAUUUAGGCAUAUUAUUCUCUAUAAGUAUAUAGAUAUAUUAUGUAACCAAUGGUUAGUUGGUUCAGUGGUGAUUGACGCCGAGCUUGGUAGGGAGAACCACAGUUCGAUCCUUCGCAACUGCGAUCGGGAGGGGUUCAAACCACUUGAUGUCAGAACUGACCCCCGAACCAGAUUAAACUGGUGGUAAAAACAAAAAAAAAACUCUUUCUCUCCCUACACGCGUCCCUUCCUUCGUCGUUCACUGCCUUCUAUAGGAGAGAACGUUACGGCCGCCGUGAUGUAGACUCGAUGAGUGGUGGUGCGACGAGAGCUUUCUCUGCACCACCGUCGAUCCUUUGAGUUUGGUUUAACCUUUCCCCUCUGGUGUCGCUCGGUUCGGAUUCUGGAGGGUAAUGGAUGUUUGGUUCAUGCUCUGUUUCUUCAUCGGAUGUUUGAUUGAUGAUCUAGAGUCGGUUUGUUACGAAGGUGAGCCAGAGUGAGCCUAUCUCCGUCGUGGUCUCACAGGUGUCAGUGCUUAUGGCUUGUUUGUGUCUCCGACUCGUGUUUCUGCACCUUGAUUCUUUGAUUGUUUUCGGGUUUGUUGAGAUCUGCAUGUUUCAUAUAGCUGAAGGUCUCAUAUCCGUAUGUAUUACCAUUGAGGUUUCAUAUUGUUUUUGUUAUCAUCGUCAUGCUCUGAGUUGACGCUUGACUGAUUGGCUCGAAAGAGUCAAUUGCUUGUUUUUGUUGCACCAUUCAUCGGUUGUUAUACCUUUGAUUAGUGUUAGGCUUAUCUAAGGUUGUUUUAAGUGUUUUCAUUACGCGUUUGGAUUGACCUACACUUUGUGUGGUCUUAUUGGGUUAGAUUUUAUGUCCCGAUUUUAUUUCUGUCGUAGACUUUUCUUUUUUAUAUGUAAUUUAUUAUUUUGAGAAUAUGAUAGAGGAUGAAGGUUUUCGGGCAUGCCAAGAUAACUAAUAUAUAUAUAUAUAUAUAUAUAUAUAUAUAUANNNNNNNNNNNNNNNNNNNNNNNNNNNNNNNNNNNNNNNNNNNNNNNNNNNNNNNNNNNNNNNNNNNNNNNNNNNNNNNNNNNNNNNNNNNNNNNNNNNNNUAUAUAUAUAUAUAUAUAUAUAUAUAUGUCUAAAUAUUUUUUGAUGCUUUCUCUUAUAAAAAAGAUGUAGUAAAGAAAGUUAAUUAUAUUGAGAGUAGUCAAAUCAUUAGGGGGAAAAGAUAAAGGCCUAAAUAAGCUAUAAGAGAAACUAUUAAUUUUUUUUAGAGAUUAGCAACUUCAAUAAUUUAUGAUUUUUACAAUAAAUUAUAUAAAAAAUUAUAUAGAUAUAAAUAAAAUUAUGUAUUGGACCCCACUUAAUGAAAUAAGAAUAGAAUUUAUCAAAAAAAGAAAAAAAAAAGAAAAAGAAAUAAGAAUAUAAUUCGUUUUUAUUGGUAAUGUGUUACUUAACUCUCUCUAUAUAAUGCCCAGGAGUACUGGAGAUAAGAAUAGAAUAUAAUACUUGACUAGGUAAUGGUAUAUAAGAAUAGAAUUCGUUUUUUAAGUAAANNNNNNNNNNNNNNNNNNNNNNNNNNNNNNNNNNNNNNNNNNNNNNNNNAAAAAAAAAAAAAAAGAAUAGAAUUCGUUUUUGUUGGUCAUGUGUUACUAACUCUCUAUAUAUACCUAGGAGUACUAAGUAAUGAGAUAAGAAUAUAAUUUUGAGUCUUUCUAAUUAAGGGUGAAACAAAUUAAAUUAAUAUGGUAGCAACUGCAAUUGAAAAGAUAGAAAUGGAUGUGCCUAUUAAGGCCACUCCUAAGCAGUUCUAUGAUGUUUUUUGCAACAAGACACACUAUGUUUCCAAUGUUUGCCCUGAUAAAGUAAAGAGUGUUGUCCUUCAAGAAGGUAACUGGGGCACCGAGGGUUCCAUUAUAUCCUGGACUUAUGCUUUUGGUAUGUGACCCUCCAACUCAAUUUUUUUUUUUUUUUACAACAUACUAACUAGUAUAAACUCAACUUGGUUUAUAUUUGAAGAGGUUUUCUAUCAUGUGAAUUUGCACAUGUCGAUACGUUUAAAAUAGUAAGUUUGUAUUGAAAUUUACAUAUUUUAUAGUAAAUAUAUAACUUUUUAAUAAAUGAUUAUUAUUUUUAAAUAAAAAGUUAUUACUUUUGGUUAAUUUAACACGUGUAAUAUUACACAUGUUAGACAAACUCAUAUUUAAAACUCUGUUCGAAAACAUAUUAUUCCUUCAUAUAUAAUCAACUUAGCUUACGAAGAGUUUUAACUUCUUUGAAAAACAUGGCUGAAAACCACGAAUUUAUAUUUGAGAAAUUUUAUUCGGACAUUUUUAAAUUGUCAGACACCAUAUAACACUUCGGUCCUACCAACUUUUCCUAUUUUUUAUUAUUUUAUUUUUACCUCAAUUUGCAUGCAAGCUUAUAAUUCAACCUUAAAUAUUGGAUAUGAUGUUACACCAGACAACUUUUUUAUGUUAUCCAAAUAACAGACCUCUUUAUAUUUUGAUAUAAAUCUUUAAAAAGUAAUUUAACAGACC